rnacentral:misc_RNA from 1 species
GAUGAAGAACGUAGUGAAAUGCGAUAAGUAAUGUGAAUUGCAGAAUUCAGUGAAUCAUCGAGUCUUUGAACGCACAUUGCGCCCCCUGGUAUUCCGGGGGGCAUGCCUGUCCGAGCGUCAUUGCUGCCCUCAAGCACGGCUUGUGUGUUGGGCCGCCGUCCCCGGUUUCCCCCGGGGACGGGCCCGAAAGGCAGCGGCGGCACCGCGUCCGAUCCUCGAGCGUAUGGGGCUUUGUCACCCGCUCUGUAGGCCCGGCCGGCGCCAGCCGACACCCAACUUUAUUUCUAAGGUUGACCUCGGAUCAGGUAGGGAUACCCGCUGAACUUAAGCAUAUCAAUAAGCGGAGGA